rnacentral:lncRNA from 1 species
AGAAGAAUUCCAAGUAUCUUGACCAAAUAAACCCUCACAGCCAUUAAGCUAUCUGGCUGCACUGCUCUGUUCUAUGCUGUGCUGCUCUGCGCUGUGUUCUCUGUAGUGCACAUCAAUCCACAUCACUAGAGCAGCAUCGACUGCCACAUCAGCCUCCCACUGACCUUGGGCCACCAAUGGGAAGACUUCCUGUGUCCUGAUCCCUAACUGACUACAGAGGUCACUUCCCUGGGUUCCAGCAUUUUUGGCUCUGCCUCAGUCAAGGAACCUGUGCCACCAUCUUGAGCCCAGAAGACUGAGGGGACAGAGGCUCUGUCUCAUGUUGUAUUUAGUGGACAGAUUCUAUUUCAUUUUAAAGUGGAUUUGAAGCAGCUAACUUGUUAGUGGUUUGAAACCUGAAGUUGUCCUGUUAGUCUUAGUUGGGGUUUUACUGCAGUGAACAGACACCAUGACCAAGGCAACACUUAUAAGGACAACAUUUAAUUGGGGCUGGCUUACAGGUUCAGAGGGUCAGUCCAUUAUCAUCAAGGUGAGACCACGGCAGUGUCCAGGAAGGAAUGGUGCAGGUAUUGUUGACAGUUCUACAUCUUCAUCUGAAGGCUGCUAGUGGAAGACUGACUCCCAGACAGCUAGUAUGAGGGUCUUAAAGCCCAUGCCUACGCCCAUGCGCACAGAGACACACCUACUCCAACAAGGCCACACCUCCUGAGAGUGCCACUCCCUGGGCCAAGCAUAUACAAACCAUCACAGACAGGAAGAAAAAUACAGCCUUUCCUGAAGCUGCACAAACAUGAACGUGUGCCUGUAAACCCCACAGUCUGAGGAAUCUGAAAUUUGAUCUGCUUCUGGUGGUCCAUGAAGUAAAGUCUUUCAAACCCCACUUGACAGAUGUUGCAACGAAAAAGGUGCUGAUCAGUCAGUGUCAAAGCAGAAGAGAAAAUAGGCUGGGCUUCCACCAGCCAGAAGAAAGAGAGAGACAGAGAGAAGCAAGGGGGAUUCACCAUGAGGAAGGGGUCUCAGAGACAUUAUGGGAGGACAUACCUGAAGCAGACACACUCAGACCAACACGAAAAGUUCUCCUGAAACUGGAGUUACAGACAGUUAUGAGCUGCCAGGGGAUGUCAUGAGCAACUCUAACCCUGAUACGUGUUGUCUAGCCUCCGAAGCUCUCUGGAACCUUUGGGUAAACUUUCAUGACUCCUACUCCUUUGAUGCUCCCAGGUGAGGGUAUAUCAGUCUCCUAAGACCACAGCUUCAGUGACCUCUGUGUGCUUUUGACUCUGAGCCAGGAAAUAUACUGUCCUAGGUGGCUGAUCACUGAGUACAAAGCCCUCACGGUUCUCGUUGUGAAUCCACUAUGCUGGAUGAAUAAGAACAUGCCCCGUAGGCUCAUAUAUUUGAAUGGCCAGUCGUGGGUUGGCAGAAUGUUUGUGAAGGAUUAGGAGGUGUAGCCUCGUUGCAAGAUGUGUGGCACCUUCGUCAGAGGGGGCAUGGCUGAUGUGUCUCUCUGCCUGCUGCCUGUGGAAUACGAUGUAAAUCUCUCAGCUAUUGCUCUAGCAUUAUGCCUGCAUGCAGCCAUGAUGAUCAUGGACUAAGCCUCUGAAACUGUAAGCAGGGCCUCAGUUAAGCUAAGCUUUCUUUUGUAAGAGUUGACUUGGUCAUGGCGUCUCUUCACACCAAUAGGACUAAGACAGUCACUUUUCGAAUGAAAGUUUUUCAAGUGAAUUUGCAACUGCUUACACUCGAACUCAGAAGGGUUGGAGGCUUUCCUUCAAGGCAUCUUUCUUCUGACUAUCAGAGCUAAGUCAAUGGUUUCUCCUUGAUAUCACUAGUCCCUUUAACAAUGCCAUCCACUUUGUCUGCACUUGCUCUCUAAAGAGUUUUAACCAGCUUCUGGCUCCCUUCCUCACCUAACUGCACAUUCCAUCUAUUCUGUCUGCAGCUUUAGCUGGGGAUCUGCUUUUCUCUGCACCAAACUAUGUUUUCAUGUCUUCUGGCCCUACUUUCUCCUCUGUCUAAGUGCAGAUCUGGAUAAAUGCAGCCCGUGAGAGUGUGCCUCUAUCUAGUGGUAAAUGAAAAUCUCUUCCAAAAAGAAACUUAAGAGAGGGAGGCUUUGCUUGGACUCUGUUUGGGAGUUACAGGCCAUCACUCAGGACAAGGUCUAGGAACCAGAGCUUGAGGCUGCUGUACUUCUCUGCAGAGCAAGAAACAAGAAGAAAAAAUGCUGGCCCUUAGCUAUGGGACUUUAGACAAGUACACCUGGGUUUCCUUGUCUGUAACAUACAAAUUAUAAGGCUUGCCUCAUAUUUGAAGGAAAUGAAGUGAAAAACAGAAUGCAAAGCACCUAUGACAAUGGCUGUCACAUGCAGGGACACAAAUACGUUUAUCUCCAUUCCUAACCAAUUUUCCCAAUCACAGUGGUUCAGAACAAGGGUGAUGGAGCAAACAUACCUAAGCUUGCAUCCUUGUUCUUCUGCGAGUCUGAACCAGAUAUUUAAUCUCUCUACACCUAUAUUUCCUCAUCCAUAAACUAGAAUACUUAUCUAUUAGAUUGCUAAAAUGUUGCUAAAGAUUUCAAGAGUAAUAGAAUAGAGGACACAUAGUUCACUAAACCUAAGACUCCAUCCAGUUCAAAUGCAGCCUGGUUUUAGAAAUGUAUGUGGAGAACUGCUUAUAUUAUUGAAUUGAUAAAAUAUGGUGGUAAGCCCCCGUUAAAUACUAUACUUUGUUACUUCAUAUAACUUCUUAUUGAGAUGGCUUGUUUGGAGGUGCAGGGGUAUGGCUUACAGACAUUGGAAAGGUCACCCUUUGUCCCAGAAUGCCGAGUGAAGUUAUAUUGGCUACAAUAUAGGAUAAUAAAUGUGCUAUCAGGAGUGUGUGCAUUGGGCAAAGACAUGAGAGCAGAAGUUAUGUGAAACCUGGUCUCAGAUUAUGCGUCGGGGUAUGGGGAAGUCAGGACCUAAAGGGAAAGGCGGCUUCCAAAUAACAGAUUCAUAAACAGGGUUUUGAAAGAUGAACAGGAGGUUUAAUGGCUGGGAAAUGACAUUCCAGAAAGUGGAGGAAGGAACUGAAAAGCAACCUCCAGUGCUGAGGAGUAUGGGGCUAAUCAGCGGGGCUGGAAUGUGCACAGCCUUCAUCCUGACUGAACGAGGGCACGCAGACAUGCGCAGAGGCCGGAGCGCGCAGACAUGCAGAGACCAGAGGAGAUGAUCUUUCUGUAUUCCCUGAGACAGCAGCUUCUAAGCAGAGGAAUUUAUAUUCAUUCAGGGAAGAAUCAUAAAGCAAGUGUACCAAAACUCCCAACCCUGUAGGAUAAUGCAAAAAAAAAAAAAAAAUGGAUAAAAAAUCUCUAAGGAAAAAAGAAAAAUAGGUCUCGAGUCUAUUUCUUAAAGAAAAAUGUGUGCCAAUCAAUGAGAAACUGACAAAUUUGAGCAUCUUUUAUGUUUCCAAGAGACUAAAUCCCAAACCUUCUGUAUUUUAAGCACAUUUUAUUUCUAGUUUAAAUUUAGAUAUGGUUUUGCAUAUUUAAUACGACCCCACCUUUUGGAAUUUUUUUUUUUAAAGAACUUUAGCACUCCGAGUACCAUCCUGUUUUUUGUUUGGUUGGUUUUGCUUCUUAUUUUUUGUUGUUGCUUCCUGGGGAUGUGGUCAUUUGACUAUGCUUGGCACAUAGGAAGUGUAUGGCCUUAUUGGAGGAAGGGUGUCACUGUGGAGAUAGGCUUUGAGAUCCUCCUGGCUGCCUGGCGAAGACAGUCCCUCCCAGUUGCCUGUGGAUCAAGAUGGAGAACUCUCAGCUCCUUCUCCAGCACCAUAUCUGCCUGCAUGCUGCCAUGAUUCCCACUCUGACAACAAUGGACUGAACCUCUGUAAGCCACCCAAUUAAAUGUUUUUCUU